GACGAACGCUGGCGGCGUGCUUAACACAUGCAAGUCGAACGCUGAAGACCUGGCUUUUGUUGGGUUGGAUGAGUGGCGAACGGGUGAGUAACACGUGAGUAACCUGCCCUCUUCUUUGGGAUAACGCCCGGAAACGGGUGCUAAUACUGGAUAUUCACUGAUCUUCGCAUGGGGGUUGGUGGAAAGGUUUGUUCUGGUGGGGGAUGGGCUCGCGGCCUAUCAGCUUGUUGGUGGGGUGAUGGCCUACCAAGGCUUUGACGGGUAGCCGGCCUGAGAGGGUGACCGGUGAGAUUGGGAGUGAGAUACGGCCCAGACUCCUACGGGAGGCAGCAGUGGGGAAUAUUGCACAAUGGGCGAAAGCCUGAUGCAGCGACGCCGCGUGAGGGAUGGAGGCCUUCGGGGUGGAAACCUCUUUCGCUCAUGGUCAAGCCGCAACUGUGGGUUGUGGUGAGGGUAGUGGGUAAAGAAGCGCCGGCUAACUACGUG
rnacentral:rRNA from 1 species